rnacentral:rRNA from 1 species
UACGUAGGGGGCAAGCGUUGUCCGGAAUUAUUGGGCGUAAAGAGCUCGUAGGCGGCUUGUCACGUCGAUUGUGAAAGCCCGAGGCUUAACCUCGGGUCUGCAGUCGAUACGGGCUAGCUAGAGUGUGGUAGGGGAGAUCGGAAUUCCUGGUGUAGCGGUGAAAUGCGCAGAUAUCAGGAGGAACACCGGUGGCGAAGGCGGAUCUCUGGGCCAUUACUGACGCUGAGGAGCGAAAGCGUGGGGAGCGAACAGG